GUGACGUACACUUCGCGCAUGCGUGGAACAACUACCAAACAUUUGGAAUUAAUUUGGCGGCUGUUUAUCUACUCCCGAGUUAUGCAAUGUUUUGGUUUGGAGAUUGGGAAGCAAAGGAGAGAGAGGACCACUGAAGGUCUGAGUGGAACCAAAGGAGACAAGCAUCGGUGGAGCGGUCAUUCUCAGCACUGAAAAGAAUCCAAACAUACAGUCGGAACAGGACCGAUCAAGGACGACUUUCUUCCCUGGCAGUGAUCUCCAUCGAGACAGAGAGACUUUUAAAACUGAAGAAAGAUAAGGAAGACUUCUUUAAACAAGUUAUCAAUGCUUUUGUUCAGAAGGAGCGGCGCAUGGACUUCAUUUAUAAGUAAAGGGCUUCCAAGGAAGAGGUGGACCCAAAGGAGACUUUUUUUCUGCUUGAAGGGAGACCCUGGUGUGGAGGGGCUGGCUGGUGAGAAAGGUGAAAAGGGUAUGUCUGGAGAAGCUGGCCCUAAAGGACAGAGUGAGGGGAGACCUUGGACAUAACGGUCCAACUGGAGACUCUGGGAAGCCAGGUGAUCUAGGACCCCCUGGACUGCCUUUUCUCGGGGGUUGAACGGCAUGAGAGGAGUGCCUGGCAGGACGGGUA